CUAAAUUCUAGUAAGUUCUUGUUUUAUUGUUCUUAUGGUUUAUGAGUUUACUUUAAUCUCUUCACGUAGAGUUUAGAGUAAUCAUUGCUGGCGUAAACGUGGUGUUUAGGCUGGAGUACUCAUAGAUAUUCCCUGACUAGUUGGACCGUGGUAGUAGUGAGGAACAUGACAAUUCCGAAUUACCUUUGCAGAUCACAUCUCGUUAGCAGGAAGGAUAGGGUUAUAGGUGCGGGUCGAACAUCCUUUGUGGUGUCUAGAUUCCGUUAGCCUCCCCAUUAGAACAAUAGAUCACCCUUACCAAGGUUAGAAGGAGACUACGGUUGCAGUCUUCUCUAUUUAUCACUCACAUCGAAAGACAUUCUUUGUGCCUAAAGGGAUAGUAGCAAUAGAUUUGGUUAGUCAGAUACACCCUUUCUCCCAGUGGUAAAAAUAUAAAUACGAUAACUCUGGAUAACCUCCCGGGUGAAAUGCUCACCGAUAUCCGUGCGCUUGCGGAUCGUUUCCUUAUUGCGUUACCAAAUAUCAACACUUAUUAAAGCCCUUAGCCGAUGCCCUGCUAAAUCAUCCAACUCG
rnacentral:lncRNA from 1 species